GGCCAAGUUUUUAAGGGCGCACGGUGGAUGCCUUGGCACCAGGAACCGAUGAAGGACGUGGGAGGCCACGAUAGUCCCCGGGGAGUCGUCAACCAGGCUUUGAUCCGGGGGUUUCCGAAUGGGGAAACCCGGCAGUCGUCAUGGGCUGUCACCCAUGCCUGAACACAUAGGGCAUGUGGAGGGAACGCGGGGAAGUGAAACAUCUCAGUACCCGCAGGAAGAGAAAACAACCGUGAUUCCGGGAGUAGUGGCGAGCGAAACCGGAUGAGGCUAAACCGUAUACGUGUGAGACCCGGCAGGGGUUGCGUAUGCGGGGUUGUGGGAUCUCUCUUCCACGGUCUGCCGGCCGUGGGACGAGUCAGAAACCGUUGAUGUAGGCGAAGGACAUGCGAAAGGUCCGGCGUAGAGGGUAAGACCCCCGUAGUCGAAACAUCAGCGGCUCGUUUGAGAGACACCCAAGUAGCACGGGGCCCGAGAAAUCCCGUGUGAAUCUGGCGGGACCACCCGCUAAGCCUAAAUAUUCCCUGGUGACCGAUAGCGGAUAGUACCGUGAGGGAAUGGUGAAAAGUACCGCGGGAGCGGAGUGAAAUAGUACCUGAAACCGUGUGCCUACAAGCCGUGGGAGCGUCGGAACAAGGCUUGCCUUGUUCUCGUGACUGCGUGCCUUUUGAAGAAUGAGCCUGCGAGUUUGCGGUGUGUUGCGAGGUUAACCCGUGUGGGGAAGCCGUAGCGAAAGCGAGUCCGAAUAGGGCGAUUCAGUAGCACGCUCAAGACCCGAAGCGGAGUGAUCUAGCCAUGGGCAGGUUGAAGCGGAGGUAAGACUUCGUGGAGGACCGAACCCACCAGGGUUGAAAACCUGGGGGAUGACCUGUGGUUAGGGGUGAAAGGCCAAUCAAACUCCGUGAUAGCUGGUUCUCCCCGAAAUGCAUUUAGGUGCAGCGUCGUGUGUUUCUUGCCGGAGGUAGAGCACUGGAUAGGCGAUGGGCCCUACCGGGUUACUGACCUUAGCCAAACUCCGAAUGCCGGUAAGUGAGAGCGCGGCAGUGAGACUGUGGGGGAUAAGCUCCAUGGUCGAGAGGGAAACAGCCCAGAGCAUCGACUAAGGCCCCUAAGCGUACGCUAAGUGGGAAAGGAUGUGGAGUCGCAGAGACAACCAGGAGGUUGGCUUAGAAGCAGCCACCCUUGAAAGAGUGCGUAAUAGCUCACUGGUCUAGUGAUUCCGCGCCGACAAUGUAGCGGGGCUCAAGCGUACCGCCGAAGUCGUGUCAUUGCGAUAUAUACCCCCAACGGGGAUCGUGAUGGGUAGGGGAGCGUCGUGUGCCGGGUGAAGCAGCCGCGGAAGCGAGUUGUGGACGGUUCACGAGUGAGAAUGCAGGCAUGAGUAGCGAUACAAACGUGAGAAACGUUUGCGCCGAUUGACUAAGGGUUCCUGGGUCAAGCUGAUCUGCCCAGGGUAAGUCGGGACCUAAGGCGAGGCCGACAGGCGUAGUCGAUGGAUAACCGGUUGAUAUUCCGGUACCCGCUGUGAAGCGUCAAACAUCGAGCAUCGUGAUGCUAAGGCCGUGAAGCCGCCCUGGAUCCUUCGGGUGAAGGGGAGUGGUGGAGCCGCCGAACCAAGCGGUUAGUAGGUGAGUGAUGGGGUGACGCAGGAAGGUAGUCCAUCCCGGGUGGUGGUUGUCCCGGGGUAAGGGUGUAGGCCGUGAUCCAGGCAAAUCCGGAUCACUUGUGGCUGAGACCUGAUGCCGAGCCGAUUGUGGUGAAGUGGAUGAUCCUAUGCUGUCGAGAAAAGCCUCUAGCGAGUUUCAUGGCGGCCCGUACCCUAAACCGACUCAGGUGGUCAGGUAGAGAAUACCGAGGCGUUCGGGUGAACUAUGGUUAAGGAACUCGGCAAAAUGCCCCCGUAACUUCGGGAGAAGGGGGGCCACACCUGGUGAGAACACUUGCUGUUCGAGCUGGGGGUGGCCGCAGAGACCAGCGAGAAGCGACUGUUUACUAAAAACACAGGUCCGUGCGAAGCCGUAAGGCGAUGUAUACGGACUGACGCCUGCCCGGUGCUGGAACGUUAAGGGGACCGGUUAGCUCCAUUUCGGUGGGGCGAAGCUGAGAACUUAAGCGCCAGUAAACGGCGGUGGUAACUAUAACCAUCCUAAGGUAGCGAAAUUCCUUGUCGGGUAAGUUCCGACCUGCACGAAUGGCGUAACGACUUCUCGACUGUCUCAACCAUAGGCCCGGUGAAAUUGCACUACGAGUAAAGAUGCUCGUUUCGCGCAGCAGGACGGAAAGACCCCGGGACCUUUACUACAGUUUGAUAUUGGUGUUCGGUUCGGCUUGUGUAGGAUAGCUGGGAGACUGUGAACUCUGGACGCCAGUUCAGGGGGAGUCGUCGUUGAAAUACCAGUCUGGUCGUGCUGGAUGUCUAACCUGGGUCCGUGAUCCGGAUCAGGGACAGUGUCUGAUGGGUAGUUUAACUGGGGCGGUUGCCUCCUAAAGAGUAACGGAGGCGCCCAAAGGUUCCCUCAGCCUGGUUGGCAAUCAGGUGUUGAGUGUAAGUGCACAAGGGAGCUUGACUGUGAGACCGACGGGUCGAGCAGGGACGAAAGUCGGGACUAGUGAUCCGGCGGUGGCUUGUGGAAGCGCCGUCGCUCAACGGAUAAAAGGUACCCCGGGGAUAACAGGCUGAUCUUCCCCAAGAGUCCAUAUCGACGGGAUGGUUUGGCACCUCGAUGUCGGCUCGUCGCAUCCUGGGGCUGGAGUCGGUCCCAAGGGUUGGGCUGUUCGCCCAUUAAAGCGGUACGCGAGCUGGGUUUAGAACGUCGUGAGACAGUUCGGUCCCUAUCCGCUGUGCGCGUAGGAAUAUUGAGAAGGGCUGUCCCUAGUACGAGAGGACCGGGACGGACGAACCUCUGGUGUGCCAGUUGUCCUGCCAAGGGCAUGGCUGGUUGGCUACGUUCGGGAGGGAUAACCGCUGAAAGCAUCUAAGCGGGAAGCCUGCUUCGAGAUGAGUAUUCCCACCUCCUUGAGAGGGUAAGGCUCCCAGUAGACGACUGGGUUGAUAGGCCGGAUAUGGAAGCACGGUAACGUGUGGAGUUGACCGGUACUAAUAGGCCGAGGGCUUGUCCUC
rnacentral:rRNA from 1 species